rnacentral:lncRNA from 1 species
GAUACACGAAGGGAUGACAUGGUGAUACAUCAAGGUCCUAUCACUCGAGGAAUGAUCAAGAAAAUACAACAAGAGUACUCGCCAAAAGGUUCAGUACUUUUUGCUAUCUUUGGAUGGAAAAUUGGAGAUCAAGGAGAUGCUACAAAGCUGCCAAAACAUGGAGAGGGGUAAAAGAGACCUUUAUACACAUGCAAGGGUGAGAUUAGCUUGAUAGGGGGUGCACCGGGAACUUUCUUAUAUUAGAAAUAGAAAUAAACGUGUAAUACAUGUAGUUUCUAGAAGCUUAGCACAUUUAGCCCAUGUUUAGAAAUGUGGAAACGUGAUCCAUCUUAGAUGAGCACGUUUUCAUCACUGGCCAAAGGAUGAGGAGUCUAUAAAACUCACCUCUGCUGCACCAUGUAAUCACUUUUGGAUGAUCAUAGAAAAAAUCUGCUGAAAUGCUUAGUCAUUUGCUCCUUUCCAAGAGUCCUUCCAUAGCUUGUUUCUCCAUUGCAACUUUCUUCCUCUUGUGGAAGCCUUCUGAGUUGUAAACACCUCUUCAAGCUAGCCUCCGUUCCAAUCCAUCUUGCUAAACAUCUUCCUCCGCUGCCACCAUGCCAAACACAACAUUCCAGAUCUGGUCUCUGCACUGAUUCAACGUUGAUUCACCACCCGGUACUGUUCCAUUGAUUUCCUUCGGUUGAAUCACCUCCACUUGGUUCUUCUCUCACGGAUCUUCAAGAGGACAUCAAGCCAUGAUGUAUCACAACACAAACUCUAUAUCAAACUAGUUUUUGAUGAUGACAACACAAUG